UACGAAGGGGGCUAGCGUUGCUCGGAAUCACUGGGCGUAAAGCGCACGUAGGCGGAUUGCUAAGUCAGGGGUGAAAUCCUGGAACUCAACUCCAGAACUGCCUUUGAUACUGGCGAUCUUGAGUCCGGGAGAGGUGAGUGGAACUGCGAGUGUAGAGGUGAAAUUCGUAGAUAUUCGCAAGAACACCAGCGGCGAAGGCGGACUUUCUGGUCCGAGUUCUGACGCUGAGGCGCGAAAAGCGUG
rnacentral:rRNA from 1 species